GAUGAACGCUAGCGGCAGGCCUAAUACAUGCAAGCCGAACGGCAAGUUUGAUAGCAAUAUUGGACCUAGAGUGGCGCACGGGUGCGUAACACGUGUGCAACCUGCCCUCGACAGGAGGAUAGCUCCCCGAAAGGGGAAUUAACCCUCCAUAACACCAUGAGAAGGCUUGUGAUUAUGGGUAAACCGCAGGGGGUCGCGGAGGGGCAGGUGGUUGAGUAGCUAGUUGGGGGGGUAAAGGCUCACCAGGGCGGUGAUGAAUAGGGGUUCUGAGAGGUAGGGCCCGCGAGCUGGAACUGAGACACGGGGCAGACGCCUACGGGAGGCCGCAGUAGGGAAGAAUGGACAAGGGUUGCAACACUGAUCCAGGCAUGCCGAGUGAAGGAAGCAGGCCUUCUGGGGCGUAACCUGCGUUUGCCUGCGGAUAAAACACCCGUGCGAGGGGAAUUGAAGGUAACAGGUGAAGAAGCAACGGCUAACUACGUG
rnacentral:rRNA from 1 species